GUAUUGCAGAGAAUGAGAAAGUCAAACUGGUUAACGAAAAGGUAAAAGAGUUAGAGAGAGAGGUUGAGAGACUGAAAGAAGAUAUGACAACAAAAGAGAUUCAAUACAAAAUCAAAUUUGAAAGAGCGAAAGAAGCGUUUAGAAGACAGAAUGAGAGAGUGAAACAGGUUAAUCAAAAUGUACUAGUGUUAGACAGAGAGGUUGUGAGAAUGAAAGAAGAGAUUAGAUUGAAAGACGAGACUGAACCAGAGAGAACAUUUGAUAGAGACAGAGAGAGAGAAAAUGAUUGGAGACAAAGUGAAGAGGAGAUGAAAAAGAGAGUGGAGAGAGAGAUGGAGCUGGAGACAGCCCUCAUCAAUGACAAAAAGACGUCUGAAUUGGAGGAAGUCUUCAAGAAAAUCAAGGAACAGCGGAUUGAAUUAGAAAAUAUGGAAACAGACAAAUAUAAAUGGAAACAGAACCAAAUGGACAUGGAGGAGAAGAUGGAGGGUGAGCACAACAAACAGAAAGAGGUAGAAAGAAAGAGAAUGGAGAAAAUACCAAAACAGAGACAAGAAGAAGAUGAGAAGAAGAAGGAGAUGGAGAGAGAAGAAGAAGAGGAGAGACGCAAACAGAAGCACAUAGAGAUGGAAGAGGAAGAAAGAGAGAGGGAGAAAGAGAGACAGAGAGACAUCAAAAGAAAGAUCAUGGAAAAGAGACAAAAACAUAUCGAAAGAGAAGAAGAGAGACAGAAAGUGAUUGAAAGAGAUCGUGAAGAAGAAAGAUGUAAACAGAAGCAAAUAGAGAUGGAAGAGGAAGAAAGGGAGAGGGAGAAAGAUAGACAGAGAGAGAUCAAAAGGAAGAUAAUGGAAAAGAGACAUAAAAAUAUGGAAAGAGAAGAGAGACAGAGAGAGAUUGAAAGAAAGAUAAUGGAAAAGAGACAAAAACAAAUCGAAAGAGAAGAAGAGAGAAAGAAAGAGAUUGAAAGAGAGAAUGAAGAACUAUUUGAACAGAAGCAAAAAGAGAUGGAAGAGGAAGAACAAGAGAGGGAGAAAGAGAGACAGAGAGAGAUUGAAAGAGAGAUUGAAGAAGAAAGAUGUCAACAGAAGCAAAUAGAGAUGGAAGAGGAAGAACGAGAAAGGGAGAAAGAGAGACAGAGAGAGAUUGAAAGAGAGAUUGAAGAAGAAAGAUGUCAACAGAAGCAAAUAGAGAUGGAAGAGGAAGAACGAGAAAGGGAGAAAGAGAGACAGAGACAGAAAAAUAUGGAAAGAGAAGAAGAGAGACAGAGAGAGAUUGAAAGAGAAGAAGAGGAGAGACGCAAACAGAAGCACAUAGAGAUGGAAGAGGAAGAACGAGAGAGGGAGAAAGAGAGACAGAGACAGAUCAGAAGACAGAGAAUGGAAAAGAGACAAAAACAUAUCGAAAGAGAAGAGAGACAGAAAGACAUUGAAAGAGAGAAUGAAGAAGAAAGAUGUAAACAAAAGCAAAUAGAGAUGGAAGAGGAAGAACGAGAGAGGGAGAAAGAGAGACAGAGAGAGAUUGUAAGAGAGUAUGAAGAAGAAAGAUGUCAACAGAAGCAAAUAGAGAUGGAAGAGGAAGAAAGAGAAGAAGAGAGACAGAGAGCGAUCGAAGAGAAAGAAAGACGACAGCAACAAGAGGAGAUAAAGAUCAUGUUUGAGAGAGAUCAAGAAGAAGAAAAUAUAUGGAAACAGAAGCAAAUUGACAUGGAGAAGGAGGGAAGAGAGGGGGAGAACAAGAGACAGAGAGAGAUAGAAGAGAUACACAGACGACAACAACAAGAGGAGAGACAGAAACAAAUGGAGAAGGAGAAAGAAAGGGAGAAAGACAAUGACAAUCAGAGAGAGAUGGAAUUAAAAGAUCAGCAACAGAAAGAGAUGGAGAAAGAAAAGAUGAUUAUGAGAGAAAGGGAGGAAGCAGGAAGAAGAAAGGAGGGGCAGAAAAAUAUUUUGGGGGAAAUUGAGGGACAGAAUGAACUGGAGAUAGAACAGGAGAGAGAGAUGGAAGAAAAGCAGGAAGUGAUUAAGGAAGCAGAGGAAGAGUACAGGGAAAGAGAAGAGAGAGGAAAGGAAGUAAGCAUGAAGAAACAUGUAGUAGUUAAUGUUAAAGCAAAAGCACGGGAAGUCUUCAAUAGGCGUAAAGAGAGGAGGUUAGAAGUGUUGAAGGGGGAACGAGAACACAUAGAAAGAGGACAACAAAUCAGGAGGGAGAAGGAGGAAAGACGGCUGGAGAUGGAAAGAAAACAGGAGAGGGCAAGACAACAAGAGGAGCAGGAUAAAAAACAAGAGAUUGAAAUUGCUACACAGAAAGAAAUGUUGAGACUAAGAGAGGAGGAGAGGCAGAGAGAGGAAGAGAGAGAGGAGCAGAGAAAGAGAGCCAUUGAAGGCCAUUUAGCUUUAAUCAGAGAGAGAGAGAAGAUUUUAGAGGUAAAGAAAAAAGAGGAGAUGGGGGGGCCAGACAGCCAGCAGCUAGAAGCUCCAGAAGAGGCUGAAACAUCAGAGCCAACCUCCAAGAACAAGAAAAAGCCAAGCAUCUGGAAGAGAAUUAAGAUGAGCCUUCCUGACGUGCUGUCUGUCUAGAGCUGGAACUCGAUGAAGCCACAGUUCCACUGAGGUUACGUUGGUAAUUAAAAGUGUCGCCCAAUAAUUCCUCCUCCUCUUUAAGUCAUCGAGCCACAUUUCCUCCUCAAAACAUUAUAGUCUCCUCAAGCCAGCAAGUAUCCUCUUUAUCAGGCAACAAACCAUCUAAGAUCAGUGACCCUCCUCCCCAGAGCAGAGACUCUCAUCUGUAUCCUAGUUAAAUUAAUCUCUGAUCACCACCUCUACAGUCCUAGAAAAUAUCCCAAAAAUGGAAAUGGUUUCAACAGAAGUCCUCCCCUCAGACCAGUGGCUCCACAGACCAGAGUUUCUCAUCUUUAUUCAAGUUGAAUGCAACUCUGAUCAUUUCCACCACCUCUCCUGUUAAGGGGAGGUGCUGAAAAGGAGGUCUGGGAGGAGGUCUGCAGGUAGCCUGGACCGGACCGGUAGCAGCUAAGUUGCUGGCUCCAUCCCCGGGCAGAGCUGCUCAAGUCAGGCCAGUGAUGUUUGAUGAUGUCAUUUUUGUUAGCAAAGUUUUACUCUUUAAUAAAAGCAUUUAGUAAAAAAGCAAUAUUGUUGUUACGGUGUGGAUUGUUUUGUUAUUUAUUAGAAUUGAAACAUCCAGUAGUCAUGGUAGAUGUUAGACUUUCAAUGAGACACCUAACAUUCCAUCAGUUUGAUACAAUGUGUGACAUGUUAUAUUAGAGAGGAGUCCUCUAUACACAUCUAUUUUAGACCAUAGGAGAAAUAUCAGAUUGAAAUAGCUUCUCUAAGAAUCUGAGGAGAGAGCAACAGUAGAUGCAUCGUUAGCUCUCCCACCUCCAGUUCAGUACUCGGGUCAUUCCACCAAUUGAGUACCUUUUGGGGAGUGUAACUUUUAUUUCACCUAAUUCUAAUAUUUUGUCAUAAAUAGCACAUGUUCAACUUAAUAAAAAACAUGUUUUCCCAUCUCAAAAGUAACAAAUACAUACUAUAGUAAGUGCCUAUUAAGUGCCAAAUAAAGUGACAGGGUUGACUGUAACAGAGUUGACUAUUUAAUCUAGAAUCAACCAUAGAUCCCCAUGUGACAGGGGGAAUGGAAUGCAAGCUUACCAAACACAUGUAAAUAGUUUAAACAUUUCUAGACUGUCUAUCUAUUGGUAACAGGGUUGGUGUGUUAUAAUUCACCCACCCAGUGGUGAUUGCAGCAUGUACAUCUUGGUGGGGAAAACUCCCCCAAAAUGUUUUAGAUGAAUGCCAGCAAAGCCACUACACA
rnacentral:lncRNA from 1 species